GUCUACGGCCAUACCACCCUGAACUUGCCUGAUCUCAUCUGAUCUCGGAAGCUAAGGAGGGUUGGGCCUGGUUAGUACUUGGAUGGGAGACCAUCUAGGAAGAUCAGAUGCUGUAGGCA
rnacentral:rRNA from 1 species